rnacentral:tRNA from 1 species
UCCCCUGUAGCAAAGUGGUUAAUGCGUCGUGCUUAUAUGUGUGCAACAUAUACCUAGGUCACGCGAAGGUCGCGAGUUCGAUCCUCGCCAGGGGAA